CCUACGGGAGGCAGCAGUGAGGAAUAUUGGUCAAUGGACGCAAGUCUGCACCAGCCAAGUAGCGUGCAGGAUGACGGCCCUCCGGGUUGUAAACUGCUUUUAUUUGGGAAUAAAAGGGGGCUCGUGAACCUCGUAUUGUAUGUACCAUCAGAAAAAGAACCGGCUAAUUCCGUGCCAGCAGCCGCGGUAAUACGGAAGGUCCGGGCGUUAUCCGGAUUUAUUGGGUUUAAAGGGAGCUUAGGCCGGCUUUUACGUCAGCUGUGAAAUGCCGCGGCGCAACCGUGGAUUUGCAGUUGACACUGGAGGCCUUGAGUGCACAGAGAGAUGCCGGAAUUCGUGGUGUAGCGGUGAAAUGCUUAGAUAUGAUGAAGAACUCCGAUCGCGAAGGCAAGUGUCCGGGGUGCAACUGACGCUGAGGCUCGAAAGUGCGGGUAUCAAACAGGAUUAGAUACCCCUGUAGUC
rnacentral:rRNA from 1 species